rnacentral:rRNA from 1 species
ACGGGAGGCAGCAGUGAGGAAUAUUGGUCAAUGGGCGGAAGCCUGAACCAGCCAAGUCGCGUGAAGGAUGAAGGUAUUAUGUAUUGUAAACUUCUUUAGCAGCAGAGUAAUAAGGGGGUCGUGACCCCCGAUGCAAGUAUGCUGAAAAUAAGGAUCGGCUAACUCCGUGCCAGCAGCCGCGGUAAUACGGAGGAUCCGAGCGCUAUCCGGAUUUAUUGGGUUUAAAGGGUGCGCAGGCGGUUUUUUAAGUCAGUGGUCAAAUCGCGGAGCUCAACUCCGUCCCGCCAUUGAUACUGGGAGACUUGAUUGCGGUCGAGGUUGGCGGAAUUCGUCGUGUAGCGGUGAAAUGCAUAGAUAUGACGAAGAACACCGAUUGCGUAGGCAGCUGACCAGGCCGUAAAUGACGCUCAUGCACGAAAGUGCGGGGAUCGAACAGGAUUAGAUACCCUGGUA